CCGAGACGGGCGGAUCACGAGGUCAGGAGAUCGAGACCAUCCUGGCUCAGCCAGGAUGGUCUCGAUCUCCUGACCUCGUGAUCCGCCCGUCUCGG
rnacentral:pre_miRNA from 1 species